rnacentral:rRNA from 1 species
GUCUAUGGACAUGCCACCCUGAAUGUGCCCAAUCUCGUUUGAUUUUGGAAACUAAGCAGGGUGGGCCUGAUUAUAGUACUUGGAUGGAAUAACAGUUGAGAAUGAGAGAAAAUUCCAAAACUC